AGGGCACCACCAGGAGUGGAGCCUGCGGCUUAAUUUGACUCAACACGGGAAAACUCACCCGGCCCGGACACUGGAAGGAUUGACAGAUUGAGAGCUCUUUCUUGAUUCAGUGGGUGGUGGUGCAUGGCCGUUCUUAGUUGGUGGAGUGAUUUGUCUGGUUAAUUCCGAUAACGAACGAGACUCUAGCCUACUAAAUAGAUAGUCGGCUUACAAACGUCGACUAGACUUCUUAGAGGGACAGGCGGUGAUUCAACCGCACGAAACAGAGCAAUAACAGGUCUGUGAUGCCCUUAGAUGUCCGGGGCCGCACGCGCGCUACACUGAAGUGAUCAGCGUGCUUUUUCAGCCUACUCUGUCAAGAGUGGGAAACCCAAUGAACCUUCUUCGUGAUUGGGAUAGGGGAUUGUAAUUAUUCCCCUUGAACGAGGAAUUCCCAGUAAGCGCGAGUUCAUAAGCUCGCGUUGAUUACGUCCCUGCCCUUUGUACACACCGCCCCGUCGCUACUACCGAUUGAAUGUU
rnacentral:rRNA from 1 species